rnacentral:tRNA from 1 species
AGCCCCGAGGUGUUCAACACGUAAGAUUGCAAAUCUUAAAUGGCCUAUUAACGUAUGCCGGGGCUU